rnacentral:lncRNA from 1 species
UUCUUCUUUCUUCUUAUUUUAGGCUUAUCUUGAAUCGAUCAUUUCUUUUUUUUUUUGUCAAAAAUCUUGAAUAGAUCAUGUUUGUUUAGUUAUGCUCGUUUUUAGCUGAUUUUGAUGAGAAAAAUAAAGUUAGAUUGGAUUUAUGUUCGUAAAUCUUCGCGUUAAAAUGAUUUUUUGCUCAAAAACGACUUACUUAAUUCUAUGAUCGCCUGAACUCUAAGUCGAUGAUGUUGAUUUUUGUUUUGGCUGGCUAUCUUUUACUAAAACGUUUUGAUCUAUAAACAACCACUGCAUGAGAAAGACACGCCACAUGUGGUUUUUUCUUGUUUUUUUUCCUUAGAUUAGAAGUGAUUUUUGUUGUUUAUGUUUUUUCAUUACACACGUGCUCUAAAAUCGGACGUUCCGAUGAUUUAAUCGAUAGUUUAAACGUCCGACGGUAUAUUAUUUUAGUGAUUUUAGCCAAAUCAUCAACUAAAUGAUUUCUCAGAUAUACUGAACACCUGAGUAAUCAAAUCUUCACGUUUGAAUAAUCAAAUUUAAAUAAUCGUUUAAGUUAGAUAUAAACAUACGAUAAGUAUAUUUUAAACACUCGGUUAAUCUAUCAAUACAAUUAUUUUUUUCAUACAACACAAAAGUUCUCUCGCACACCGACGAAAUAAAACAAAAUUCUAUCAGUUCGUAUCAUUAAAAGUGUUAUGUAGAUCAAACAAGACUUGAAUAUACUUAAAAAAGUAUAACAAUCGAAUAAAUAUAUACUACUCCGACAUGUUACUGUUUUCGUCACCAAAUCUAAAGACUUCUUCGUUAAAUAAUGGUCUUUGGUCGGGAUGGACCACCUGGCGAUCCGGUCCGACCAGGAAACCGGGUUUUGAUUUGUUCGGGUUGCAUCAGAAAAUUAGGGCUUUCUACAAAUUUUGUGGAUUGUUCAUGUCGAAUCCGUUCGAUUGUUGAUUCAAUUAACCAAAUUUCACCUCCGAAUUAUGGUGAUUGCAGUAUCGUCCUUCGAGCGCGUACAACGCCCCAUUCUACACCACAAACGGUGGUACUCCAGUCUCCAACAACAUCUCUUCCCUCACCAUCGGAGAGAGAGGUAUUUGUAAUCCUGAAUUCAAAGUAUCUAACCAUAAGAAUCGGAACUGUAACCUUGUACUUGCUGGAUUUAUGGAAGAGAUGAAACUGAGAUAUAGAGUCUAAAGCUAGGAUCUUGUUAAUGGAGUCUGAUGUGUUCUUUUAAGUUAACAUGUGUUGCUUCGUAUUGAGCAGGUCCGGUUCUUCUUGAGGACUACCAUCUGAUCGAGAAGGUUGCCAAUUUCACCAGAGAGAGGAUCCCUGAGAGAGUGGUUCAUGCCAGAGGAAUCAGUGCUAAGGGUUUCUUUGAAGUCACCCAUGACAUUUCUAACCUCACUUGUGCUGAUUUUCUCAGAGCUCCUGGUGUUCAAACUCCGGUUAUUGUCCGUUUCUCCACCGUUGUCCACGAACGUGCUAGUCCUGAAACCAUGAGGGAUAUUCGUGGUUUCGCUGUCAAGUUUUACACCAGAGAGGUAUAAGAAAAGAUUUAAGUUUCCAUUUUUAAUUUAAUCAGUCUUUUAGCUUCUUUAGAAUCUGUACUGAUUUGUGUCUUGCUACUGUUUUGAUAAUUUCAGGGGAACUUUGAUCUUGUUGGGAACAACACUCCGGUGUUCUUCAUCCGUGAUGGGAUUCAGUUCCCGGAUGUUGUCCACGCGCUGAAACCAAACCCGAAAACAAACAUCCAAGAGUACUGGAGGAUUCUGGAUUACAUGUCCCACUUGCCAGAGAGUUUGCUCACAUGGUGCUGGAUGUUUGAUGAUGUUGGUAUUCCACAAGAUUACAGGCACAUGGAGGGUUUCGGUGUCCACACCUACACUCUUGUUGCCAAAUCUGGAAAAGUUCUCUUUGUGAAGUUCCACUGGAAACCAACUUGCGGGAUCAAGAAUCUGACUGAUGAAGAGGCCAAGGUUGUUGGAGGAGCCAAUCAUAGCCAUGCCACUAAGGAUCUCCACGAUGCCAUUUCAUCGGGCAACUACCCCGAGUGGAAACUUUUCAUCCAGACCAUGGAUCCUGCGGAUGAGGAUAAGUUUGACUUUGACCCACUUGAUGUGACCAAGAUCUGGCCUGAGGAUAUUUUGCCUCUGCAACCGGUUGGUCGCUUGGUUCUGAACAGGACCAUUGACAACUUCUUCAAUGAAACUGAGCAGCUCGCUUUCAACCCGGGUCUUGUGGUUCCUGGAAUCUACUACUCAGACGACAAGCUGCUCCAGUGUAGGAUAUUUGCUUAUGGUGACACUCAGAGACAUCGUCUUGGACCAAAUUAUCUGCAGCUACCAGUGAAUGCUCCCAAAUGUGCUCACCACAACAAUCACCAUGAAGGUUUUAUGAACUUCAUGCACAGAGACGAGGAGGUACGUCUUAGUACCACUUGAGCUACCAUUGUUAGUCUUUUGACUUGGAAUCAAAAUUCUUAUAGGGUGUUUGCUUUUUACAGAUCAAUUACUACCCCUCAAAGUUUGAUCCUGUCCGCUGUGCCGAGAAAGCUCCUAUCCCUACAAACUCCUACACUGGAAUCCGAACAAAGGUCUGAUUCAUGACAUGCGUUCUUUAAAUCUUGAAAACCUCAGACUCAAUAUAUUGAAAAGUGUCUGCUAAGAAAACCUUGAAACUGCUAAUGUUGCAGUGCGUCAUCAAGAAAGAGAACAACUUCAAACAGGCUGGAGACAGGUACAGAUCAUGGGCACCAGACAGGCAAGACCGGUUUGUUAAGAGAUGGGUUGAGAUUCUGUCGGAGCCACGUCUCACCCACGAGAUCCGCGGCAUCUGGAUCUCUUACUGGUCUCAGGUGAGAACAAAAAACCACUCAGUGAAAUCUCUGCUUCCUUUUUCACCAAAUAUUCAGCAAACUAAACAUUAUAAUCUCUCUUAUCUUUCAGGCUGAUCGAUCUCUGGGACAGAAACUUGCAAGCCGUCUGAACGUGAGGCCAAGCAUCUAGAGACCAAUCUCCAGAUAAGUUGAGUCUAAUGCGAGGUACACAAUCUCAUCGAUCCAUCAUCGCUUGGUCGUUAAAUCCGUCAAAAGAUAUUCCACCUGUGUUGUUGUUUCAUGUCAAUAUAAUAAUAAUGCAUAUGCUUGUAAUCCCAUAGACUCUUGUUUCCUUCGGUUUUAGUCGCACAGUCUGUGUCUUUGUAAUCUCUUUUACAAUAAAUCAAUGUUUCUUAUGGUGGUCGUAUACAUAUAUUUUUAAGAGAAAUUGCACUAGAUAAUUUAAAAAAAAAACAAAAUUAAAUAUCUAACCUCUAACCCCUCUAUUCACUCUCUUUCUCUUCCUAUCUCUCUCUACCUUCUUUCUAAAAAACUAAUUUUUCUUUUUUUUUGGUUAUUCACCUAAAUCACCACUCUCUCAUUUUUAAUUCAGCAUUAGAUUAAAAAAAAAAAAAAAACAGAGAAAAUAUUUGGUUAUGUAUAAUUUUAAGGAGAAUCCAGAAUUGGAUCCACAAUUGUCUAUUAAUGGUAUAGAAUCUGACGAAAUUAAAGACGAUAUAUCAUCCACACGUAAUUAGUUUGAUUAUCAUUUGGAUAAGGAUAAACAAAGAAAAAACACAUACGUUUUUUGCUUGUAUCGCGAUACAUAACGAGAUUUGUCUCAUUUUAUCGCGGCGGGAUUUUGGGAUUGAGCUAAAAUAAGAUAUUUUAGCUUUUGGCUCGCUAUAAAAAAAAUCGACAACAGUGCAGACGCACGCCGAUUUGCGUAGAGAGACUCAACUAAAAAAAUCACAAAGGAAAAUUUGGGAUCAAAAUUAGUCUUGCGGCAUCAUGGAUCCAUACAGGGUACAUCGAUCGAUUCUCUUUAGGCUCCUUUUUUUGUAAUCUGAAAUUUUGCCUUACUUGAUUUCGUAUCAAUUUGGUUUUUGAUUUGGUGUUGAAUACUACAAAGUAUACGAUCUCUCUCGGUUAAAAUGAUAUGCAAAAUUGGGGUGAUUGUUCGACCUAUUGAGGUUUUUGUGGGGUCUUUAACUCAAUUUCUUUAAUAUUUAGCAGAGAUCAGGUUUGGGAUUUACAUGCGUUGAAUAUUAGAAAAGAAAACUGGUACAUAUUUAGGAUUCUACAUGUUUUCUUCGUCUAUUGAUUGUUUAAUCAAACAAGUCUUAAGGCUCAUGUUUUAAGGUUUCUUUAUCACUGUGUUUGAUUGUGAAUAUCAUUGUACCUUAAAUAUCAGCUCGGAAAUGCUAACGUUUUCGUGAUUUGUAUCUUACUUUUUGUUUAGUUGAAUUUUAAGUUAAAUGGAUCAUAUACUUUGUGGCAUUGUUAUCUAUCUAGUUACAAGUAUCUCAUUUGUCAAAGACGUUUCUCCAUUUUAAGGGAAUUUGGUUAAAUUUUUUGAUCCAGUUGCAUUUUUUAUUCUUCUGAAUUUAUUUGUUGACUGCAGGUUCGUCCUUCAAGCGCUCAUGAUUCCCCUUUCUUCACUACAAACUCGGGUGCUCCUGUCUGGAACAACAACUCUUCUUUGACUGUCGGAACUCGAGGUGCGUCUCUCUUUCUUUAUCUCUCGAAUACAAAUUAUAGCAAAUAGGUUGAACCAGUGGUUGUCAGAGAUGUCCUUAAAGCUAGAGUAAUGGAAGCCAAAUAAUUUUUAUAAACGUUUAGAUAAGAAUGUCAUUAGUGUUUUUCUGGACUUGCGUGAAUCAGCUCUCUUCCUUCAUUUAUAUGCCAAAUCUAUUAAUUCUUCCAAUGUUUAUUCUGUUUGCUUUCUUGAAAAUUUAGAAAUGUGAAACGAUGAUAUUGUAUACUGUCAGGUCCAAUUCUUCUGGAGGACUAUCAUCUGCUUGAGAAACUCGCCAACUUUGACAGGGAGCGGAUUCCUGAGAGGGUAGUUCAUGCCAGGGGAGCCAGUGCUAAGGGUUUCUUUGAAGUCACUCAUGACAUUACACAACUUACUUCUGCUGAUUUUCUUCGAGGACCUGGUGCUCAGACUCCUGUUAUUGUUCGUUUCUCAACUGUCAUCCAUGAGCGUGGCAGUCCCGAGACUCUCAGAGAUCCUCGUGGUUUUGCUGUUAAGUUUUACACCAGAGAGGUUAGCUUUUGUCUUAUCCUUCCAUCGUCUCUCUGUUUUCUGUAAUCAAUAUCUAUGUGUUUGCUGUUGUUGGAAUGUUUUAUUUGCUCAUCUAUUUCGUUUUACCACCUAUUUGAUUAAUUGCUAAUCAUAUUGUACUCUUCUGAUUCUUAUUACCCUCUGUUUGCAAACUCAGGGGAACUUUGAUCUUGUUGGGAACAACUUCCCUGUAUUCUUCGUCCGUGAUGGAAUGAAAUUCCCUGACAUGGUCCAUGCAUUGAAACCGAAUCCCAAGUCCCACAUUCAGGAGAACUGGAGAAUACUGGACUUCUUCUCCCACCACCCAGAGAGUUUGCACAUGUUUUCGUUCCUCUUUGAUGAUCUCGGUAUCCCACAGGACUACAGGCACAUGGAAGGUGCUGGGGUCAACACUUACAUGCUAAUCAACAAAGCUGGAAAAGCUCACUAUGUGAAAUUCCACUGGAAGCCGACUUGUGGGAUCAAAUGCCUGUCGGAUGAGGAAGCUAUCAGAGUUGGAGGAUCCAAUCACAGCCAUGCUACUAAAGAUCUCUAUGACUCGAUCGCAGCCGGGAACUAUCCACAGUGGAAUCUCUUCGUUCAGGUGAUGGAUCCUGCCCACGAAGACAAAUUCGAUUUCGAUCCGCUUGAUGUCACAAAGAUCUGGCCUGAAGAUAUCUUGCCUCUACAACCUGUUGGCCGCUUGGUCUUGAACAAAAACAUCGACAACUUCUUUAACGAGUACGAACAGAUUGCUUUCUGUCCUGCUCUUGUGGUUCCAGGCAUCCACUAUUCAGAUGAUAAACUACUCCAGACCCGGAUCUUCUCCUACGCUGAUAGUCAGAGACACCGUCUUGGACCAAACUAUCUGCAACUACCUGUCAAUGCCCCUAAAUGUGCUCACCACAACAAUCACCAUGAUGGUUUUAUGAACUUCAUGCACAGGGAUGAGGAGGUAAUAAUCUCUCUCGGCUCUGGAAACUCUCAGAUACUUAAAUUCACCACCAUUUUCACAUUUAUAUGAAGUAAAUUUGUUACUUUCCAAUUCCAG